rnacentral:RNase_P_RNA from 1 species
UGAGUUGGUUAGACAAUCGCUGGUUUAUUGAAGCCCUUAAAUGGUUUAUUUAGAAAUAAAUAAAACGAUCUAGUGGGACAAAUAGACGAGAGGAAAGUCCGAGCUACAAAGGGCAGAGUGCCAGAUAACGUCUGGGAGGCGUGAGCCUACGACAAGUGCAGCAGAGAGAAGACCGCCGAUGGCUUUCUUUUUAGAAAGAUCAGGUAAGGGUGAAAGGGUGCGGUAAGAGCGCACCGUAUGUAUGGUAACAUUUCAUAGCAGGGUAAACUCCACUCGUAGCAAGACCAAAUAGGAACUCAAUGGGUGGCCCGCUCAGAGUUCGGGUAGGUUGCUUGAGCGUAUGUGCGAAUAUACGCCUAGAGGAAUGAUUGUCCGCGACAGAACUCGGCUUAUCGACCAACUCACCUC